UACGUAGGGUGCAAGCGUUAAUCGGAAUUACUGGGCGUAAAGGGCUCGUAGGUGGCCAACUAAGUCGGACGUGAAAUCCCUCGGCUUAACCGGGGAACUGCGUCUGAUACUGGAUGGCUUGAGUUCGGGAGAGGGAUGCGGAAUUCCAGGUGUAGCGGUGAAAUGCGUAGAUAUCUGGAGGAACACCGGUGGCGAAGGCGGCAUCCGGGACCGACACUGACGCUGAGGAGCGAAAGCCAGGGGAGCAAACGGG
rnacentral:rRNA from 1 species